GUAGUUGAACCUUGGGCCUGGCUGGCCGGUCCGCCUCACCGCGUGUACUGGUCCGGCCGGGCCUUUCCCUCUGUGGAACCCCAUGCCCUUCACUGGGCGUGGCGGGGAAACAGGACUUUUACUUUGAAAAAAUUAGAGUGCUCCAGGCAGGCCUAUGCUCGAAUACAUUAGCAUGGAAUAAUGAAAUAGGACGCGCGGUUCUAUUUUGUUGGUUUCUAGGACCGCCGUAAUGAUUAAUAGGGACAGUCGGGGGCAUCAGUAUUCAAUGGUCAGAGGUGAAAUUCUUGGAUCCAUUGAAGACUAACUACUGCGAAAGCAUUUGUCAAGGAUGUUUUCAUUAAUCAGGAACGAAAGUUAGGGGAUCGAAGACGAUCAGAUACC
rnacentral:rRNA from 1 species